GUGCUCGCUUCGGCAGCACAUAUACUAAAAUUGGAACGAUACAGAGAAGAUUAGCAUGGCCCCUGCGCAAGAAAUCUCUCUAGAGAAAAUUAUAAAGGCUUA
rnacentral:snRNA from 1 species